CCUACGGGAGGCAGCAGUGGGGAAUCUUGCACAAUGGAGGAAACUCUGAUGCAGCGAUGCCGCGUGAGUGAAGAAGGCCUUUGGGUUGUAAAGCUCUUUUGUAGGGGAAGAUAAUGACUUACCCUAAGAUAAUCACGAACGUCG
rnacentral:rRNA from 1 species